UGACUAAUGUUGAACAUAGAAGAUGAAUUUGUUUGACGGGAUCAAACCUUGGAGACUGCUUAUUAGGUUUAGGGACGAAAGUAGUGAAUUAAGUUAAAACUUAGAGAUUAAAUAGUACUUUCCCUUCUAAAAAAAGUACUCCAUAAAUAGUUUUUGAGAUUUGGAAUUGAGAUUAGGUCCACUUCUCACGUGGGUUGCAUGUGUAAUCUGUUGCUGAAUUGAGUCCUUCCCACUCAUUAGUCAUUCAGCCUUUUAUAUAUGUCGUAUAUGUAUCUAAAUUUUUGAGGAUCUGAUAUGUGUUGUGAGCGGUCACCCUACGCUAUCCAUGGCCGCCUCGUGAUGUCCAUCUAGCAAUUGUAAACCCUAGCCGCCACCAAUACAUAGAUCUAAGGAUUUGUAUGCAAGACCCAAAUUGAUGAGAUUUAUGGCUCCGAAUAAACUUACGCUAUUUGAAUAGCUACUGUCAAAUGGAGACGAAUCAAUCAUGUAUUGGUUUUCUACAAGGACGUCACCGACAGAUGAGUGGACACAGAUGCAGGAUGUGAAAAUGGAAUUUUAGCAGGCAGUUGUUACGCUGCUGCUGAUGUUCUCAAGGUAUUCUAUAAUACAUAGCUAGUUGGUGGAGAAAUCAUGAACUUGACUGCAAGUCCACUUUUCCUCAGUUUUUGCUGGAGCAUGCCAAAGUAUAUCCAGUCAAGUCUUGAGGAACUGAUAAAAAAGUGUGAAUUGAUGACAUAAACAAUAUGGACUACAUGCAAGCAUGCCAAUUUUACUAGUUUUUAGAUAGACAGAUAGAGAAGGAAAGUUUACUGGCAAACAGGCAUGCAAUCUCUUCUUGAGUUGGAGGCUGCCAAGAGGUUCAUGAUCAUCACCAGUCAUGAUUGGACCAUGCAACCAACUGUUGCUGCAGUGAGGCCACCAAUUCCUCCUACACUCCAUGUUGAAGAAAACCAGCCUGCUCAGCAGAAGCCCAGAAACGCAUGCUCAACUUAGCCAGGAGGAGGAUUCUCUGCAUGCAAAGUUUGAAAAGGCUUAACAAUUGUUUGUUGUUUCUUUAAUUUGCACCGGCUAUUAUUACCAUAUCUUUGUCAUCAGAUAAUUAUACAACAAUAAAUAAUCAAAGACAAUUGAAAGAAAACCUCUUUUACAGUUUCACACCUCAUAAAUUUAUGUGGGUUGUCACCAGAAGCUGCCAAUUUUGUUUCCAAGAAAGUGCAAUUUGUUACCCUAGAAAGACCAUACUCUUUCCUUGCUCUUCUCAACAUAUAUGGUUUCUCCAAUUCCCAAAUAAUCAAAAUUAUUAAGUCAUAUUUAACUGUUUUUUUAGCGUAGCUGGUUUGCAAGGUUUGGGCCACAAAAGGCUAAAGGAAGAGUUGGGUAUGACUUAACAAUUUUGGUUAUUUGGGAAUUGGAGAAACCAUGUUUAUCAAGAACAGCAAGGAAAGACUAUGGUUUUUCUGGGGUUACAAAUUGCACUUUCUUGGAAACAGAAUUGGCGGCUUCUGGUGACAACCCACGUGAAUCUAUGUGGUAUGGAACUGUAGAAGAGGUAUGAAACUGUUAACUGUAUUUGUUUAUAAGUUCCAAAAGAGUGUUUUCCUAUUUGAUGCUUGCAUGAUCAAUUAAAUUCUGAUAAGCUAUAAGAUGUGGAAAGAUUAGUCAUCCUAAUUUACUGGUCUUUAGAGUAGUUGAAAUGCCACAGUAUGCUGUGUAGCUGUUAUUGAUAACCUAUUGAUUGUUCUGCAAUGAGAUCAAAGAGGUUAUUUUA